rnacentral:rRNA from 1 species
AACGGCCGUACCAUGCUGAAUAUACCGGUUCUCGUUAGAUCACCGAAGUUAAGCAUCAUUGGGCGCGGUCAGUACAUGGGUGGGUGAGACCACCUGGGAACACUGCGUGCCGUU